rnacentral:rRNA from 1 species
UACAGAGGGGGCAAGCGUUGUUCGGAAUUACUGGGCGUAAAGGGCGCGUAGGCGGCCUUCUAAGUCGAACGUGAAAUCCCCGGGCUCAACCCGGGAACUGCGUCCGAGACUGAAAGGCUCGAAUCCGGGAGAGGGAUGUGGAAUUCCAGGUGUAGCGGUGAAAUGCGUAGAUAUCUGGAGGAACACCGGUGACGAAGGCGGCGUCCUGGACCAACACUGACACUGAUGAGCGAAAGCCAGGGGAGCAAACGGG